rnacentral:lncRNA from 1 species
CCAUUAUUUUAUCGAACUUCAUAGCCCUCAAGUAUGAAAAUCAAGAAACAAUCUAAUAUUUCUUAGUGGGGUUGAGAUCCAUAUUUCUCACAAACACCUUGUGGAUAGCACAAUAAGCAUUCAUGAGUUCAAGGAUAGGUAACUCUUUACCAAUUGUACUUUACAAUUCUUAAUAUCAUUCACUUUGGCUUCUAGAUUUAUAUAGUCUUAUGG